rnacentral:misc_RNA from 1 species
GAUGAAGAACGUAGCGAAAUGCGAUAAGUAAUGCGAAUUGCAGAAUCCGUGAGUCAUCGAAUCUUUGAACGCACAUUGCGCCCUCUGGUAUUCCGGAGGGCAUGCCUGUUCGAGCGUCAUUAUCACCCCUCAAGCCCGGCUUGUUGUUGGAUGCAGCGCUUAUCCCGCUCCUCCCAAAGAUAAUGACGGCGUCUGCGACGACUCCUGUACACUGAGCUUUCGGGCACGUACACGGCUAGAAGUCCAGACCCGGUCGCCGUCCCCCCCGCGGGGACACCCAUUACCACAAGGUUGACCUCGGAUCAGGUAGGAAUACCCGCUGAACUUAAGGAUAACAAUAAGCGGAGGA